AGCGAACGCUGGCGGCAGGCCUAACACAUGCGAGUCGAACGGAUCCUUCGGGAUUAGUGGCGGACGGGUGAGUAACACGUGGGAACGUGCCCUUUGGUUCGGAACAACUCAGGGAAACUUGAGCUAAUACCGGAUGUGCCCUUCGGGGGAAAGAUUUAUCGCCAUUGGAGCGGCCCGCGUCUGAUUAGCUAGUUGGUGAGGUAACGGCCCACCAAGGCGACGAUCAGUAGCUGGUCUGAGAGGAUGAUCAGCCACACUGGGACUGAGACACGGCCCAGACUCCUACGGGAGGCAGCAGUGGGGAAUCUUGCGCAAUGGGCGAAAGCCUGACGCAGCCAUGCCGCGUGAAUGAUGAAGGUCUUAGGAUUGUAAAAUUCUUUCAGCGGGGACGAUAAUGACGGUACCCGCAGAAGAAGCUCCGGCUAACUUCGU
rnacentral:rRNA from 1 species